GCAUUGAUGACAAUAGAGAAGAAGAACACAGUUGGGCUGGUCAUAUGUUGACUUCUGGACAUAUGUUUCAACACCUAGAGACAGUUUACAUUGCGCGUUUCAGUGGGAAUGCGAGGCAGAUGAGAUGGGUGAAACUGAUAUUGAAGACUGCAAAUGCUUUGAAAGCUGUUACACUAAGUUUAAGAAGUGGUGAUGCGAUAAAUAAGGAAGCACUUAUGUCAGACUUACAAAGUCUUCCUAGAGGCUCCGAUGGAUGUGAGUUUAAGUUUAAAGAGUACUGAUUAUUGAAGGCACAUCUCGACUGUUAGAUUUACCCUGGCAUUUAAACUGAAAAGCUCAUUCUCUGUAAGACAGGUUAUGUUCUUCCAGAUGAGGGGUAGUCGCUUCUGCAAGUAUCUGAAAGGAAAUUCAUUCGUGUCAGGAUCAGGUUGUUAUUGAUCAAAAAUUCAAUUGCAAAGUUCAGCAUACUGCUUCCAACACCCAUUCGACGAGCACUUAGGGCAACAGUCACAUUCGAGAUUAUGACAUAUCUCUGUGAUUCUCUUUUUUUGUAGGUG